rnacentral:misc_RNA from 1 species
GGAAGUAAAAUCGUAACAAGGUUUCCGUAGGUGAACCUGCGGAAGGAUCAUUAUUGUAUAACCGAGGUGCGAGGGCUGUCGCUGACCCGAAAGGUCGUGCACGCCCGAGUGCCCUCACACACAUCCAUCUCACCCCUAUGUGCACCACCGCGUGGGUCCCCCUUUGGCUUGUUCGGAGGGGGGCUUACGUUUUCACACAAACUUUGUAUGCAGUGUAGAAUGUAUUUUUUGUUUUUGCGAUCACGCAAUCAAUACAACUUUCAACAACGGAUCUCUUGGUUCUG